rnacentral:tRNA from 1 species
CGGGGUGUAGCCCAGCGGUAGGGCGCCUGCUUUGGGAGCAGGAGGUCGGGAGUUCGAUUCUCCCCACCCGACCA